GCGUAAAGCGCACGCAGGCGGUUUGUUAAGUCAGAUGUGAAAUCCCCGGGCUCAACCUGGGAACUGCAUCUGAUACUGGCAAGCUUGAGUCUCGUAGAGGGGGGUAGAAUUCCAGGUGUAGCGGUGAAAUGCGUAGAGAUCUGGAGGAAUACCGGUGGCGAAGGCGGCCCCCUGGACGAAGACUGACGCUCAGGUGCGAAAGCGUGGGGAGCAAACAGGAUUAGAUACCCUGGUAGUCCACGCCGUAAACGAUGUCGACUUGGAGGUUGUGCCCUUGAGGCGUGGCUUCCGGAGCUAACGCGUUAAGUCGACCGCCUGGGGAGUACGGCCGCAAGGUUAAAACUCAAAUGAAUUGACGGGGGCCCGCACAAGCGGUGGAGCAUGUGGUUUAAUUCGAUGCAACGCGAAGAACCUUACCUGGUCUUGACAUCCACGGAAGUUUUCAGAGAUGAGAAUGUGCCUUCGGGAACCGUGAGACAGGUGCUGCAUGGCUGUCGUCAGCUCGUGUUGUGAAAUGUUGGGUUAAGUCCCGCAACGAGCGCAACCCUUAUCCUUUGUUGCCAGCGGUCCGGCCGGGAACUCAAAGGAGACUGCCAGUGAUAAACUGGAGGAAGGUGGGGAUGACGUCAAGUCAUCAUGGCCCUUACGACCAGGGCUACACACGUGCUACAAUGGCGCAUACAAAGAGAAGCGACCUCGCGAGAGCAAGCGGACCUCAUAAAGUGCGUCGUAGUCCGGAUUGGAGUCUGCAACUCGACUCCAUGAAGUCGGAAUCGCUAGUAAUCGUGGAUCAGAAUGCCACGGUGAAUACGUUCCCGGGCCUUGUACACACCGCCCGUCACACCAUGGGAGUGGGUUGCAAAAGAAGUAGGUAGCUUAACCUUCGGGAGGGCGCUUACCACUUUGUGAUUCAUGACUGGGGUGAAGUCGUAACAAGGUAACCGUAGGGGAACCUGCGGUUGGAUCACCUCCUUACCUUAAAGAAG
rnacentral:rRNA from 1 species